GUAGGUGAACCUGCGGAAGGAUCAUUAUCAAUUUCAUUGUUUUGUAGCCAUAUUAUUAUUAUUUGGUUAUGAGCUGUGUUUUUUUUUGUGCACUGUUUUAAAUGUUUUGUCUCUUGAGAUUGAAUAUUUAAAAAAAAAAAAUUUGAUUUUCUUUAUAUUUUUUUCUUCUUUUAUAUUCUUUUUUUGUUAUAACAUGUUAUAAUAAAAAAUGAUAAUAAUAAUUAAAAAAAAGACAACUUUCAGCAAUGGA
rnacentral:misc_RNA from 1 species